GGUUCUAUAGUGUAGUGGUGAUCACUCCGGAUUUUGAUUGUGCAGAGCAUUCACUCUCUGUGCAAGAAAACAUUCCGGCAACCCCGGUUCGAACCCGGGUAGGACCU